rnacentral:rRNA from 1 species
UACGAAGGGGGCUAGCGUUGCUCGGAAUCACUGGGCGUAAAGCGCACGUAGGCGGCUUCUUAAGUCAGGGGUGAAAUCCUGGAGCCCAACUCCAGAACUGCCCUUGAUACUGAGGAGCUCGAGUCCGGAAGAGGUGAGUGGAACUCCGAGUGUAGAGGUGAAAUUCGUAGAUAUUCGCAAGAACACCAGUGGCGAAGGCGGCUCACUGGCCCGAUACUGACGCUGAGGCACGAAAGCGUGGGGAGCAAACAGG